ACUCAAAGGAAUUGACGGGGGCCCGCACAAGCAGCGGAGCGUGUGGUUUAAUUCGAUGGUACGCGAAGAACCUUACCUGGGUUUGACAUCAAGGUAGUAGCAAGGUGAAAGCCGCGCGACCCUUCGGGGGGCCUUGACAGGUGCUGCAUGGCUGUCGUCAGCUCGUGUCGUGAGAUGUUGGGUUAAGUCCCGCAACGAGCGCAACCCCCGUCGUUAGUUACAAGUGUCUAACGAGACUGCUGGUAUCAAACCGGAGGAAGGUGGGGAUGACGUCAAGUCAGCAUGGUCUUUAUGUCCAGGGCUACACACACGCUACAAUGGUCGGUACAACAGGUGGCUACGGCGCAAGCCGAGGCUAAUCCAAAAAGCCGGUCUCAGUUCAGAUUGUCGUCUGCAACCCGACGGCAUGAAGGCGGAGUUGCUAGUAACCGCGCGUCAGCCAUAGUGCGGUGAAUGCGUUCCCGGGCCUUGUACACACCGCCCGU
rnacentral:rRNA from 1 species